rnacentral:rRNA from 1 species
CCUACGGGAGGCAGCAGUGAGGAAUAUUGGUCAAUGGGCGCAAGCCUGAACCAGCCAAGUCGCGUGAGGGAUGACGGUCCUAUGGAUUGUAAACCUCUUUUGUCGGGGAGCAAGGCCCGCCACGUGUGGCGGGAAGGAGAGUACCCGACGAAAAAGCAUCGUCUAACUCCGUGCAAGCAGCCGCGGUAAUACGCAGGAUGCGAGCGUUAUCCGGAUUAAUUGGGUUUACAGGGUGCGUAGGCGGAAGGUGAAGUAAGCGGUCAAAUGUCGGUGCUCAACACCGGCCUGCCGUUGAAACUGGGCUUCUUGAGUGAGCGAGAAGUAUGCGGAAUGCGUGGUGUAGCGGUGAAAUGCAUAGAUAUCACGCAGAACUCCGAUUGCGAAGGCAGCAUACCGGCGCUCAACUGACGCUGAGGCACGAAAGCGUGGGGAUCGAACAGGAUUAGAUACCCGAGUAGUC